AAUGGUAUCAGUGGUAGGGGAGCGUUCUAAGGACAGUGAAGUCAGACCGGAAGGACUGGUGGAGUGCUUAGAAGUGAGAAUGCCGGUAUGAGUAGCGAAAGACGGGUGAGAAUCCCGUCCACCGAAUGCCUAAGGUUUCCUGAGGAAGGCUCGUCCGCUCAGGGUUAGUCAGGACCUAAGCCGAGGCCGACAGGCGUAGGCGAUGGACAACAGGUUGAUAUUCCUGUACCACCUCUUUAUCGUUUGAGCAAUGGAGGGACGCAGAAGGAUAGAAGAAGCGUGCGAUUGGUUGUGCACGUCCAAGCAGUUAGGCUGAUAAGUAGGCAAAUCCGCUUAUCGUAAAGGCUGAGCUGUGAUGGGGAAGCUCCUUAUGGAGCGAAGUCUUUGAUUCCCCGCUGCCAAGAAAAGCUUCUAGCGAGAUAAAAGGUGCCUGUACCGCAAACCGACACAGGUAGGCGAGGAGAGAAUCCUAAGGUGUGCGAGAGAACUCUGGUUAAGGAACUCGGCAAAAUGACCCCGUAACUUCGGGAGAAGGGGUGCUUUCUUAACGGAAAGCCGCAGUGAAUAGGCCCAAGCGACUGUUUAGCAAAAACACAGCUCUCUGCGAAGCCGUAAGGCGAAGUAUAGGGGGUGACACCUGCCCGGUGCUGGAAGGUUAAGGAGAGGGGUUAGCGUAAGCGAAGCUCUGAACUGAAGCCCCAGUAAACGGCGGCCGUAACUAUAACGGUCCUAAGGUAGCGAAAUUCCUUGUCGGGUAAGUUCCGACCCGCACGAAAGGUGUAACGAUUUGGGCACUGUCUCAACCAGAGACUCGGUGAAAUUAUAGUACCUGUGAAGAUGCAGGUUACCCGCGACAGGACGGAAAGACCCCGUGGAGCUUUACUGUAGCCUGAUAUUGAAUUUUGGUACAGUUUGUACAGGAUAGGCGGGAGCCUUUGAAACCGGAGCGCUAGCUUCGGUGGAGGCGCUGGUGGGAUACCGCCCUGACUGUAUUGAAAUUCUAACCUACGGGUCUUAUCGACCCGGGAGACAGUGUCAGGUGGGCAGUUUGACUGGGGCGGUCGCCUCCUAAAGUGUAACGGAGGCGCCCAAAGGUUCCCUCAGAAUGGUUGGAAAUCAUUCGUAGAGUGCAAAGGCAUAAGGGAGCUUGACUGCGAGACCUACAAGUCGAGCAGGGACGAAAGUCGGGCUUAGUGAUCCGGUGGUUCCGCAUGGAAGGGCCAUCGCUCAACGGAUAAAAGCUACCCCGGGGAUAACAGGCUUAUCUCCCCCAAGAGUCCACAUCGACGGGGAGGUUUGGCACCUCGAUGUCGGCUCAUCGCAUCCUGGGGCUGUAGUCGGUCCCAAGGGUUGGGCUGUUCGCCCAUUAAAGCGGUACGCGAGCUGGGUUCAGAACGUCGUGAGACAGUUCGGUCCCUAUCCGUCGUGGGCGUAGGAAAUUUGAGAGGAGCUGUCCUUAGUACGAGAGGACCGGGAUGGACGCACCGCUGGUGUACCAGUUGUUCUGCCAAGGGCAUAGCUGGGUAGCUAUGUGCGGAAGGGAUAAGUGCUGAAAGCAUCUAAGCAUGAAGCCCCCCUCAAGAUGAGAUUUCCCAUAGCGUAAGCUAGUAAGAUCCCUGAAAGAUGAUCAGGUUGAUAGGUUCGAGGUGGAAGCAUGGUGACAUGUGGAGCUGACGAAUACUAAUAGAUCGAGGACUUAACCAUAUAA
rnacentral:rRNA from 1 species